GACAGAGGUGCCGAGCGUUAGGCGGAAUCACUGGGCUUAAAGCGUGUGUAGGCGGGCGAUCAAGUACCUUGUGAAAUCCCACGGCUCAACCGUGGAACCGCUGGGUAUACUGGUUGUCUUGAGCCGGCUAGGGGCGAGCGGAACAGACGGUGGAGCGGUGAAAUGCGUAGAUAUCGUCUGGAACGCCGAAGGUGAAAACAGCUCGCUGGGGCCGCGGCUGACGCUGAGACACGAAAGCCAGGGGAGCGAACGGG
rnacentral:rRNA from 1 species